GGGUCCGGACACACUGAGGAUUGACAGAUAUACGCUCAUUGCAGUGCUUCGGCGCCGCAUUUGAGCUGAAAGAUGCUAGUUCUUUCAUGAUUAUGUGAUAGGUGGUGCAUGGCCGUUCUUAGUUCGUGGAGUGAUCUGUCUGCUUAACUGCGUAUCAAUAAUAGAGACCUAGUAUACGCGCGGAUUUCGUGUGGUAGUGACCCCCUGUUCGCAGGCGUGUGUCGCACACGCGUGCCGCGCACUGGUCUCAGAUAGCAACGAACGUGACCGUAUUCUAUUGUUGCAGUGAAUAUGUGUGCCUUCGGGCAUACGACCCACUGCUUAGUGUAUGUACGUGCUUCGGUGCGCACAAUACACAUUAAACUAUAGAGACCGCUGUUUCUUCUUUUAAACCAGAGGAAGGAUACGGCAAUAACAGGUCUGUGAUGCCCUCAGAUGUUCCGGGCUGCACACGUGCUACAAUGAUCAUUGCACUGUGCAUCUAACCCAAUGUGCGUGGACGCCGCAUGUAUGUACUCCUUGUGGGUACACGCAUUGCUGAGCGACCACGCCGAACCUACUUCGAAAGUAAAAUUUCUCUGUGGGU
rnacentral:rRNA from 1 species